GAAUGGCGUACGGAGAUGGGAGCUGUCUCAAAGAGGGAUCCAGUGAAAUUGUAGUGGAGGUGAAAAUUCCUCCUACCCGCGGCAAGACGGAGAGACCCCGUGGACCUUUACUACAGCUUGACACUGCUAUUUGGAUAAGAAUGUGCAGGAUAGGUGGGAGGCUUUGAGUAUAUGACGCCAGUUGUAUAUGAGCCAUUGUUGAGAUACCACUCUUUCUUAUUUGGGUAGCUAACCAGCUUGAGUUAUCCUGAAGUGGGA
rnacentral:rRNA from 1 species